rnacentral:rRNA from 1 species
ACGAACGCUGGCGGCGUGCUUAACACAUGCAAGUCGAACGGAAAGGCCCUGCUUUUGUGGGGUGCUCGAGUGGCGAACGGGUGAGUAACACGUUAGUAACCUGCCCUUGACUUUGGGAUAACUUCAGGAAACUGGGGCUAAUACCGGAUAGGAGCUCCUGCUGCCUGGUGGGGGUUGGAAAGUUUCGGCGGUUGGGGAUGGACUCGCGGCUUAUCAGCUUGUUGGUGGGGUAGUGGCUUACCAAGGCUUUGACGGGUAGCCGGCCUGAGAGGGUGACCGACCACAUUGGGACUGAGAUACGGCCCAGACUCCUACGGGAGGCAGCAGUGGGGAAUAUUGCACAAUGGGCGGAAGCCUGAUGCAGCAACGCCGCGUGCGGGAUGACGGCCUUCGGGUUGUAAACCGCUUUCGCCUGUGACGAAGCGUGAGUGACGGUAAUGGGUAAAGAAGCACCGGCUAACUACGUG